CCCAGUAGCUCUGCCACAGACUGCCUCAGGGACCAAGGUCCCAUUUCUUAGCUUCUGGGAACAACCACUUCUUUAUCUUGCAAAUAAGGCUAAUUAAACAGGCUGUGCAAGAGUUAACCCAGAGUAGGAGAAUGGCAGAGAAGUGAAAGAACACUGUGGUUGGAGAUUUAAAACCACCCUCUUCCCCAGAGGAGCAGCAGCAGCACCAAGUCGUCCAAGUGGUACCAUGGCAGUUUGUCCUUGGCAGUGAGCAGAAGACACAGCCUUCAUCUCGUCUUCCCCUUCCACCUUCUGCCGUGUGAGGACACAGCAAGAAGGCCAAUCCCAG